CUGAGUCCAAUGGGUGAGGUGGGGCAGCGCCCUACAACCCAAUUCAGACUACUCUCCCCCGGA
rfam:Opisthocomus hoazin contig76792, whole genome shotgun sequence.